rnacentral:rRNA from 1 species
GACGAACGCUGGCGGCGUGCUUAACACAUGCAAGUCGAACGGAAAGGCCCUGCUUUUGUGGGAUGCUCGAGUGGCGAACGGGUGAGUAACACGUGAGUAACCUGCCCUUGACUUUGGGAUAACUUCAGGAAACUGGGGCUAAUACCGGAUAGUAGCUCCUGCUGCAUGGUGGGGGUUGGAAAGUUUCGGAGGUUGGGGAUUGACUCGCGGCUUAUCAGCUUGUUGGUGGGGUAGUGGCUUACCAAGGUCUUGACGUGUAGCCGGGCUGGGAGGGUGAAGGGAUACAGUGGGAAAGAGAAGCGACUCGGACUCCUAAGGGAGGCAGCAGUGGGGAAUACUUUACGAUGGGGUGAAGCUUAAUGUAGCAACGCCGCGUGAGGGAUGAAGGGAAUCGGGUUGUAAAACGCAUUAUCCUGUGAUGAAGCGUGAGUGACGGAAAUGGCUAACGAGGAACAGGCUAAGUACGUG